UUUAUAUUUUAUCAAAUUGACGAUUUUACCCUUAAAAAAUCAAAUAAUAUCUUCAAUUGUCCUUAUUUGGAAUAAAAUUCAAAAUUCAGUGUCAAAUGUGUCACAAUUGAAAAGUCAUAGACCAAAGUGAUAGAAGCCCCAAAUCAUAGGGACUAUUAGUGUAAUUCACCCUCAAAUUAAUUAUGAACUUUUGGCGACUAACGCCAAUUGAAGACUUUCAGUGACUAAAUAAUUUUUAGUCGCCAAAAGUGUAAUUUGUUGUGUGCACACUUACCCAUACGUGCAUUAGAAAAAGAAAAGAAAAAGAUUAUAUAUAUGCAUGUGUUAGGCUCAUUUGUACUGUUCUUAUUAUACUUAAAAAUAAAUUUAGAUUAAAAUUUUGCUUUACUGUAUACUUUCCAAGAAAUAGACCAGAGCAUUAUUUAUCACAAAAAAAUAAAAAUAAAAAAUAAAAAAAAAAGAAGAAGAAGAAGAAGAAAGAAAAAAGACCAGAGCAUCAUAAUGUUCACACUACGUAGGGAAAAACUUUACUUUGGCCUAAUUAUUGAAAAAGAAAUAAAUUAAAAGAAUGAUGGGUAGGGGUGAAUAACAGCCAAACAGCUCGAGCUUGUUUAAUAGCUUGUUCACUUAUUGAAACGAACCAAGCUCCAUCAGAAAAUGCAGCUCGUUGAAAUUGUUGACCUGAGCCUGAACAAAGGCCUGUUCGACUCGAUAGAUUUGUGAAAUUCACAGCUUCUCUUAUUAUAUCAGAUCAGAUUUGAAACUGAAACAGAGACAUACAGCAUCAGGGCUUUCAUAGAAUCGUAUAAAUUCUGGUGAGGUUCUUUUGCAAAGAUUAGGAGAUAGGUAUAUCAGAGAUUCCACACGGACGAAGGAUUCUACACCAAUGCUGGACACACACAAUCCAUUUACCUACUAUCAUUCAGAAUGCCAAUGAAGAAGUCCAGAUUAUUGAUGCUCCUCUUGAAGAACCGAAUCCCUUUCAAAAGAAAACUAGAAACAGAAAAUCAAAGGUAAGAAUGCUGACUGCAAUUAUUGUUGAACAAAACUUGCUAUGAAUAUUCAAGGUGUGACCUACUCAACUUCAUAGACAUUUGAUGAGCAGUACACUUCAUUAGAUGAGCAUGAAGAUUCAAAGAUGGAGUUAGAUUUAAAGGUUUAUUUUUUUUAUUUUUUUUUGC